AAAGAAACCAACAGGGAUUGCCUUAGUAGCGGCGAGUGAAGCGGCAAAAGCUCAAAUUUCGAAAUCUGGCACUUUCAGUGUCCGAGUUGUAAUUUGAAGAAGGUAUCUUUGGGUCUGGCUCUGUCUAUGUUUCUUGGAACAGAACGUCACAGAGGGUGAGAAUCCCGUGCGAUGAGAUGUCCCAGACCUAUGUAAAGUUCCUUCGAAGAGUCGAGUUGUUUGGGAAUGCAGCUCUAGUGGGUGGUAAAUUCCAUCUAAAGCUAAAUAUUGGCGAGAGACCGAUAGCGAACAAGUACAGUGAUGGAAAGAUGAAAAGAACUUUGAAAAGAGAGUGAAAAAGUACGUGAAAUUGUUGAAAGGGAAGGGCUUGAGAUCAGACUUGGUAUUUUGUAUGUUACUCUCUCGGGGGUGGCCUCUACAGUUUACCGGGCCAGCAUCAGUUUGGGCGGUAGGACAAUUGCCAAGAAAUGUGGCACUGCCUCGGUAGUGUGUUAUAGUCUUUGUCGAUACUGCCAGCCUAGACUGAGGACUGCCGCUUCCGCCUACGAAGUUGGUAUAAUGAUCUUUUAGUCGCCCC
rnacentral:rRNA from 1 species